AUCUCCCGUAAGCGCCUCAAGGCACCCGAGCUUCUGUGGGUUUCUCUAUCUUGUACUCUGUGAAAGUCAUGGGAGGCAGUUUUUCUGGGUAGUAGGACAGGAAGUAGAGUUAGCAAGCACCCAGCUGGCUCUGGGGCUUCAGCUGUCCCCCUUUCUGUAGGAAAGCCAUCACCAAGUCGGGCCUCCAGCACCUGGCACCCCCUCCUCCCACGCCUGGGGCCCCGUGCGGUGAAUCUGAGCGGCAGAUCCGGAGUACUGUGGACUGGAGUGAGUCAGCAGCGUAUGGGGAGCACAUCUGGUUUGAGACCAACGUGUCCGGAGAUUUCUGCUAUGUCGGGGAGCAGUACUGUGUAGCUAAGAUGCUGCCGAAGUCAGCGCCCAGAAGAAAGUGUGCAGC
rnacentral:lncRNA from 1 species